rnacentral:rRNA from 1 species
AUGAUGAGGAGCUUGCUCCUCUGAUUUAGCGGCGGACGGGUGAGUAACACGUGGGUAAUCUGCCUGUAAGACGGGGAUAACUCCGGGAAACCGGGGCUAAUACCGGAUAAUAAGAGAAGAAGCAUUUCUUCUUUUUGAAAGUCGGUUUCGGCUGACACUUACAGAUGAGCCCGCGGCGCAUUAGCUAGUUGGUGAGGUAACGGCUCACCAAGGCGACGAUGCGUAGCCGACCUGAGAGGGUGAUCGGCCACACUGGGACUGAGACACGGCCCAGACUCCUACGGGAGGCAGCAGUAGGGAAUCUUCGGCAAUGGGCGAAAGCCUGACCGAGCAACGCCGCGUGAGCGAUGAAGGCCUUCGGGUCGUAAAGCUCUGUUGUUAGAGAAGAACAAGUACGAGAGUAACUGCUCGUACCUUGACGGUACCUAACCAGAAAGCCACGGCUAACUACGUGCCAGCAGCCGCGGUAAUACGUAGGUGGCAAGCGUUAUCCGGAAUUAUUGGGCGUAAAGCGCGC